GCCUUCGUGGUGCAGUGGUCAGCACACUCGACGCGUAUUCGAGAGGUCCGUGGUUCGAAUCCCGGAGAGUGCA
rnacentral:tRNA from 1 species